GCGGGCGGAGUAACAGUGGGGCGUUUGAGAUGAUGGAGGGUUAAACGCCAAACACUCGUAAUCAUAGAAAAUUCUGGAGCGCCGCGGCGGGGGAGGGCCGCGCUAGGCGCGGACACGGGUGCCCCCGGCAUGAUUCGAACCUCUAGCCUAUACUGCCGCCGCCGCCGCGGAAGCGUACGCCGACCGGGAAGCGAGGCGACAUGAGGCAGAAUGAGGCCUGCGCGGCGCCGCCGCCCGCCAUGGCCGCUGCGGGCUGAGGUAGGUGCGGCGGCCGCAGUCGCGCAGACCCGAGCGCUCCUCCGCUGAGGACUGGCGGGGGGGCGCGGAGGCCUAGGGCGAGCGGGGUAGCGGCCCGCUCGUCGCCGCUGACCCAGAGACCGUCCGCGGUUUCCGCUCCCUCUGGUGGCGGGCGGGCCUCCCAUCCACCACCCCGCCGCCCGCGCCCGCCAGCGCCCGAGGCCGGGGAGAAAGGGGAGCCGAGGGAGCCGGAGACCACCGGAGAUAGGAGCACGCCGCGUGCUGCUGUAGUCUAGCCGCAGGUUCCGGAGGAAUGCCCGCUCCUGGCUGGAGUCCUACCCGCCCCACACGGACCUGAGCCGCGACCACGCGGGCUGCGGCCUGCAACACAUCAGGGACGCGGAGAAUGGGGACGCGAAAGCGCCGCGGCUCAGCACUCCCGAAGAAACACGGAGUCCGGAGAGGCACAGGCACCGCCCCAGCGCGCACAGCUCCACUCAGCGGCUUCCUUCCUACCACACACGUAGGAAUGGGAGCCGAGGACUUGAUGCUUGAGGACUUCCUCUAGCAUAAAAGAUGGAAAGAAAACACAUACCGAAGCAAGGGACCAAAGGAACAGAAGAGAAACAGAGAUCAUAGGAAAACUGCGAAUAAAUACCUGAUAAUAUCUUCCAAAGGAUUAGAGAAGACAUAAGUCAUUAAGAAUGCACAUAUAGAUGUAUAUAUAUACGUGUAUGUAUGUAUAUGGGUGUACAUAUAUAUGCAUAUGUGUGUGCGUAUAUGUGUAUUAACUGUAGAAGAUAAAGGUAGACACUAGUAAAAGUGGUAAGAGCAGAUUUACAAUGUACUAUUGCAAUAGGGAAGAAGGUACCUCGUGAACAGGACUGAACUUUGUGCAGAAGUGACUGUUUCAGAGGGGGAGAGGGAGUAUGAAGGGGAUGAGCAGGAACUCAGUAGUCAGGAAAGUGAAACUUGUGAAGGAUGGGUCAAUGGAAGAGCCUGAAUAACCUGCAUUUCUAAGAAGCUCCAAGGUGUUGCUGCUAGUUCCAGGACCACACUUUUGAAUUUGGAGGCUGAGAUGAAGAAAACCUGCUUGAUAUCAUACAGUCGGGAGUCAACCGAGUUGGGGCUUUGAAUAUCCCUGAGGAUAUCCCUGAAUGAUACAGUUUUGUUUGAAAGACUGAAAAACCCAAACCUGGCACUUUUGGGAAAUAGCAGUAAAUCAUGGAUAUGUGAAGGUUCCCAGCAGGAGGUUGGAGAGAAGCCUGACACUGGCCAUCGGGAACAUGAUGCUGACCUUGGCUGUCCUUACCUGCUGGGCAGACAUAGUUGAGGCCAACAUCCUGGACCCAGAGUAGAAAUUAUAGUCCACUUGUGGAGGCAUGCAGCAGGCCGGAAAGGCCCCGUCCAAGACCAAAACAUCUUACCAUUGUAUUGCUGCUGCAAACAGGAAGGGGUGUUUGCCUGUAGAAGUGCUGAGGAUAUGUAAAGGGAAGCCAGGGCCUGCGGUGUUGGCACAGGGGGCAAGUCAACUCACAUUAGAAAUGAACCAUAUUUUCUUUUCUAACAAAUAUAUAUUUUUAUUUCAACAAUAUAUAAAGUUGUGUAUCUUAAUACGUGUGAUUAAUCUAUCUUUAGUCAUUCAAAACAUUUUUUACAAAAUAAGGUGCAUAUGCAAAGAGAUUUGGCAUAGAGAAGGAUGAGAAAUAAAACCAAUGAUUUCCAAGUAGUAGACUUUUACUAUGUGUCAUGAACUUUACACAUAUCUCUUUUAAAUAUUAACUUUAUGAGGUGACUUUUAUUAUAAUUCUUUUUUUAAUAUAAAUGAGAAAACAGUGAUUUGGAAAGUUAAGAAAUUUCCCCAAUGUCACCCAACUCCAAUGUAACACAGGUAGUAAGUUUGAGAAUCAGCAUUCAAGGCCAGGUCUGUUGAUGACUCUGCUGCUCACAGUCAUAACCAUUAUACCACGCUGCCUACACGAUAGACUCUCAGGCACUUUUGAAUGAAUGUUCUGGCAGGACCCUAUUUUUGACUUAGAUGCAAUAGCACCCAGAUUUGGACACACCAACCAUCCCACUAGAAUCCCCUGUAUCAGUUAGCUAUUGUCAGAGUAAUGCUAUGUAACAAACCACUCCUAUUCUCAGUGGCUUAAAAUAACCGUCAUUUAUUCUCGGGGAUCUGCAGGUCAUGUGGCUCUGCUUCAGGCUGUGGUAGCUGGAAGUCAGCUGAACUAGGCUGGGCUGGGUUGAAUGGGUAUCUUUUAAGCUACAGAUCUUCAUAAACUUGGCUCCUUUCUUAGCUACUUUGCAUGUAAGCUAAUUCUGAGACUCAGCUUGAAGGGGCGGUAGCCAACCGGGAAGGUCUUUUUGUAGCAAUGGCAGACAUGCCAGAGGGCACACUUAACUGCACAAACCAUUUCACACCCUUGUUAGUGUCAUGUCUGCCACCAUCCCACUGCCCCAAACGUCAUUUGGUUGAGUCCAAAGUCAAGGCAUGGGCUGCAAAGUCAUGUGUCAGACAGCAUAAAUUUGGGGUGGUGGUGAAGAGUGGAUGCUAAUAAUUCAACCUUCCACGGCUGCCCAAACCUAACAUAUGCCUGCAUAGUGUGCCUGUAAAUAAAUGUUUACAGGGAAGCAAAGUGACGAGGUCUAACAUAUUUUCUAUGUCUAUUUCAUGAAGAUCAUCAUUGCUGCUGCAUAGAGAAUGAAUUGAAGGAACAGGGAGGGAAGGUGAGAUGCCAGUUGGGAGCCUGGUGCUAGGUGAGAGAUAACAGUGGCCUAGAUGUGGGUGGUGACAAUAGAGAUGGGAGGAUCUAGACCUAUAAGCACCACACACAGCUUAUGGAGUUACUAUCAUUGCUUUAAAGUUACUAUCACUAUUUUAAAAAUAUUGUAGUCUAGUUUACCAACUAGACUAUAAAUUCCAUAUUUUUACAAUGUAUAUGUGAGGUAGACAGUAAAAAAGAUGAAAGCAACUAUGGAAAGGACUGUUAGAAUUUAUUUAAUUGACCCUGGGCCUGAAGGAUGUGGACACAUUAUAAUUUUCUUGAUGGGGACAGAUUUGGCAUUUUUCUAUACUUAAAAAAAUGUUCCUUUGGGAGGCCAAGGUGGUAGGAUUACUUGAGCCCAGGAGUUCAAGACCAGCCUGGGCAACAUAGCAAGACCCUGUUUCUACAAAAAUAAAUAAAUAAAUAAAUAAAUAAAAAUAAUUAGCUGGACAUGGUAGUGUACACCUGUAGUUCCAGCUAUUUAAGAAGCUGAGGCAGGAGGAUCAUUGGAACCCAGAAGGGUGAGGCUGCAGUGAGCUAUGCUUGUGCCACUGCACUCUAGCCUGGGCGACAGAGUGAGAUCCUCUCUCAAAAAACCAAAACAAAACAAAGUUCUCUUGUCUCUAAAGUUUCUUUAGUUCAGUGUGAUGACAUGUAGAACUCUAGAAUGUUGGGUUUGUCAUUUGUCAAUGACCCUUAAAUAUCCGUGUAAUGGGACAGUUCCUUCUAAAAAAAAAAAAAAAAAAAGGGAAACUCACCCAAACAAACAGUUGUGUUUGCAUGUUGUGAAUAUGGGUGGUAGCAUUCUUCCUUUACAGGCUUUUAAAUGUUGUCAAGUAGGUAAUACAGCAGGUCCUCAAAUAACAUUGUUUCCUUCAACGUUGUUUCAUUACAAUGUUGAUGAGAAAAAAAAUUAAUUCCAGCCCCGGGCCUGACUGUGUGGAGUUUGAUAAGUGGGUAAAUAAUAAAAACUAUCUUACUCGUUUUUAUUAAUCUUUCUUAAAUACAUGUAUAGCCUUCAAUGUUUGAUAUUAGAAAUGUUUUGGGUCCUUAUUUAGAAGUUUGGUGAUGUUUUGUGACCAGAAGUAUGCCAUAGGAACUCACCUCUUGUACAUAUCAAUUAGCUUAUGGUAAAACUGGUUUAUUCUGGACCAUUUGGCUUAAAGUCGCAGUUUCCAAGAAUUUAUCAGCAAUGAUGUUGUGAGGAUUUACUGUACUGCUUUCCUAGGCCACAACAUCUGAUGAAUGCCUUCAAGUAGUACAUUAAUUAAAAUAAAAAUAGGGAAAUAGUUUUAGGUGCAGCAGCACCCUCUCUCUCCACCUCCAGUAGAUUCUCUGGAACCGCUGGCAACUUGUUGAAUAACCUUGGUGGCCUUGAGCUCUUUCCCCAGUCUUAGUUGUCCCUGGUUCCACUCGCUGCUCUGCCACCUUGUGGAUUUAUUGGGAAUUGCGUCUUCUACUGGGAGCCCUGCCGACUCACCUAGUAAUCCCGCUGGGGCUUUUCCUGAGCGGGGGACGGGGUUUAGAAGAGAAUUCUUAUCGCUGGAGUGACACUCAACAAUAAGACACUUUGCUCUUUCGAUCUUUCUAUAUUCUUCCCCGUGUCGCUUCUUUUGGGACAAUAUCCAGAGGCCAAGCUGAAGGGCAUUUGAUGGUCUUGCCAGUAUCACACCUGAAUGGCCCUCCCCAUCUGAGACCUUGCGGCAGCCUCCCAGGGUGUGAUACAGGCCCCCACUCUCCAGUCUCACCACCCCAGUCCACCAGAGGUUUCCUUAUGCUUUAAAAAUUAUAAAAAUAAUACAAGCUUGCUUAGAGCUUACCAGUGAAGGAGACAGAUUUUAAAAAGUAAACAAAUAAAUGCAAUAUGUAUACAUUAUGGUGAAUGCUGUGAGAUGGAGAGUAGUGGUGGUGGUGGGGGCAGGAAACUUUUUAUUAAGAAGGCUGGUAAGGGCAGGCUUUCCUGAGUAGGAGAAAUUUCAAAUUGAAACCUGAAGGAUGAGAUGGAUCUAGUCAUUAAAAGAGAGAGAAAAAGCACAUGCAAAGGUCCUGAGGUGGGAGUGGGCUUGUUAAGCUGAAAGUGAGUGUGGCCAGAUGGCAGUGAGCAGGAGGGGAGUGGUUGGAGUAAGGUUGGAAAGGGCAUUAGGCACAAAUAACACAGGGUCCUGUCGUGCUUGGUACGGAUUUUGAUUUUAUUCUGACUUUCGUGGGAAGAUGAGGAAAGAUUCUUAUGCAGGGAAGCGACGAGGUCUGACUGAUACUUUCUAUUUCAUCCUUGCUGCUGCCUGGAGAAUGGAUUGAAGUGAACCGGGAGGGAAACUAGAAUCCCAUUUGGGAGCCUGGUGCCAGAAGCUGGGUGAGGGAAGCAGUGGCCUAGACUUCAGCAGUGGCAACAGAGACGGAAGGAUCUAGACGCAUGUUGUCUAAUAUGGUAGCAUUAGCCACAUGUGGCUACCGAGCGCUUGAAAUGUCUAAGUGUAAAAUCUACACCAGAUCUUGGAGGUUUAGUACAAAAAAAAGAUAUGAAAUCUGUCAUUGAUAACUUAUUUAUAUUGAUUAUGUGUUAAAAUAAUAAUAUUUUGGAUAUUUCAUCAUGUUAAAAUAUAAUAUGAAAAUAUUUAACCUUUUUACUUAAAAAAAGUGGCUACUGAAAAAAUUUAAAUUGCAUAUGUUGUUUGCAUCUGUGGCUCUCUUUAUGUUUUUAUUGGCCAGUGCUGAUACAGACAAAAGUUGCAAAAUUUAAAAAAAUACUUUUUUUUGGAGACAAGGUCUUGUUCUGUUGUCCAGACUUGAGUAUAGUGGCAUAAUCAUAGCUCACUGGAAGCUUGAACUCCUGGGCUCGAGUGAUCCUCUGGCCUUGGAAUCCCAAAGUGUUAAGAUUACAGGUGUGAGCCACUAUGCCUGGCCAAAAAAAUACUUUUAUUGUAAAUUUACAUUGGAUACCUUAGAAAUUUAUAGCGAAGUAUAGAUUUUUUUCUGGUCUACAGAAGAUAUUUAUUUGAUGUAAUAAAACAAAAUAGUGUUCUAUCCAACCACAAAAAGUAAAAGGAGUGAAAAAUUUGAAUAUACACAUACAAAACUCAAGCUGUUUGAUGUGACAAUUUUUUUUUUUUUAAAUAAUGCUACUAGCUGCGUGUGUUGGCUCAUGUCUGUAAUUCAAGCAUUUUUGGAGGCCAA